GACAUUAGUAUAAAGCAGGCGUCCUACAGCCUUGUGCAAUGCUAAGUGUUUUGCACAACUAGCUAACAUUCCAUCUAAAACAGCUUAAUGAGAAUAACCCAUGUAUGUCCUUGAUGAAUCAUUUUUCGUAUUUGAUCAAAAGCCUGAUAAAAGUGGGCGUAUUUUAAAAAAAAUAAUAAAAAAUUCCCCAUCACACACACCGCCGACUCCAUGCAUACACACUCACACACACCAGGAGGCCUUAUUAAUUAUUUGUAGCCACUUGACUUCAUAUUGUGAAGCCAGUGGCUUGGUCAAAGAUUAUAAUUACCACUUCCCUGUUUGUAUCAUUUUCAUCUCUUGUGCUUUUAGUGCAGUAUUACCUCUCUUGUCGCUCUCUCGCUUGCUUCCUCCCUCUCUCCCGUAUACACAAGACCAAAAGUGCAGCCACAUCAUUUAUUGAUAAGACAAAAAGAAUGUAAUGAAAUUAUCAAUGUUCUUGAAUUAAUUAUGAACAUGAUUAAGAAAGCUAAAAUCUCAGGAGCCGGUCUCUCAUUACCCAUUCACUCCUAGGGAUUGCUUUCAUUCAGUAAAGGAGAGGCGAAAAAGCCUUGCAGCAGAGCCCAGUCAGGCUCAGUCCGUCUCCCCGUGUGCCUGUCCCAAGGUCUCUACUGCUGGGCUCCACUGACCAAACCUCCGACAUGCCCGGACCUCGCUCCCACUCGUGUGCUUUUACCGCUGGAAUGAUGCGAACCUCCUUGUGGCCCUCAGAUGUCUGCCCGGAAAUACCAUCAUAUGCUCAACUCAGCUCGUGUGCUCUGUUUGAGAUAAUUGCCGUCGUCCAGCACUGAAAACUUUUGGCCAAACUAAAAAGUUUAAUUCAAGGGAACACAGCCUCCUCUUCUGGACAAAAAUGAAAGCAGCAAUACUAGUGAUGAAGCCCUCACAGGUGGUGUUUGGUGUGUAACAACCCUUGUUGCUAUGAGUCCUACAAAUCAAGUUUACAGCAAUCAUGGCGGUUCUACAGGAUAUGCGAAGCCAACGCGGACGAAAAUGCGACCCGGAAGCAAAUGAAGAGUGAAGUGAUAUUUAUUGAACUCAGG